rnacentral:rRNA from 1 species
UUGCAGUUAAAAAGCUCGUAGUUGGAUUUCUGUGAGAGUAUGAUGUCCUAACGUGUUUAGAGCGCAGAAAACUCUUGCAUCCUUCUGUUACCUCCACGUGGCAUUCGCUUGCCAGUGGUUGGCUCAGAGAAUUUACCUUGAGAAAAUUAGAGUGUUUCAGGCAGGCUUAGUCGGAAUACAUUAGCAUGGAAUAAUAGAAUAGGACUCCGGUCUCGUUGUUGGUUUGAGGAACUGUAGUAAUGAUUAAUAGGGAUAGUUGGGGGCAUUAGUAUUCGGUUGUCAGAGGUGAAAUUCUCAGAUUUAUUGUAGACUAACUUAUGCGAAAGCAUUUGCCAAGGAUGUUUUCAUUAAUCAAGAACGAAAGUUAGGGGAUCAAAGACGAUCAGAUACCGUCCUAGUCUUAGCCAUAAACUAUGCCGACUCGGGAUUGGGGGCGUGUUAUUAUCCGCCUUCAGCACCGUAUGAGAAGUCAAAGUCUUUGGGUUCUGGGGGGAGUAUGGUCGCAAGGUUGAAACUUAAAGGAAUUGACGGAAGGGGACCACCAGGCGUGGAGCUUGCGGCUCAAUUUGACUCAACACGUGAAAACUUACCAGGUCCAGACAUAGUAAGGAUUGACAGAUUGAUAGCUCUUUCUUGAUUUUAUGGGUGGUGGUGCAUGG